CCUACGGGUGGCUGCAGUGAGGAAUAUUGGUCAAUGGGCGGGAUCCUGAACCAGCCAAGUCGCGUGAGGGAUGACGGCCCUAUGGGUUGUAAACCUCUUUUGCACGAGAACAAAACCCGCCACGUGUCCCGGACUGCGUGUACCCGACGAAUAAGCAUCGGCUAACUCCGUGCCAGCAGCCGCGGUAAUACGGAGGAUGCGAGCGUUAUCCGGAUUUAUUGGGAUUACAGGGAGCGUAGGCGGUCGGUUAAGUCAGCGGUAAAAUGGCGCGGCUCAACCCCGUCGAGCCAUUGAUACUGGCAGACUUGAGUUGGCGAGAAGUACGCGGAAUGCGUGGUGUAGCGGUGAAAUGCAUAGAUAUCGCGAAGAACUCCGAUUGCGAAGGCAGCGUACCGGCGCGAGACUGACGCUGAGGCACGAAGGCGUGGGGAUCGAACAGGAUUAGAUACCCGGGUAGUC
rnacentral:rRNA from 1 species